rnacentral:rRNA from 2 species
GUGCGAGACCGAUAGCGAACAAGUACCGUGAGGGAAAGAUGAAAAGAACUUUGAAAAGAGAGUUAAAGAGUACCUGAAACUGCUGAAAGGGAAUCGAAUCGUUUCCAGUGUCUAUAAUCUGUGGCAUAUUUCAUUGGCGAGUGUGUGCGUGCAUUGUUUUGGAAGCAGUUUUCUGUUCCUGGCUGUGUUGUGCAUUUGCUUGCUGGUGCCCUGUGUCGCGGUGGGACGUCAGAGUCAAUUCGUAAGUUGCGGGAAAUGGCUAUUGGGGAGGUAGGUCACUUCGGUGGCUGUUAUAUCCUGAUAGCUAGUAGUCGUGGCUGGGAUUGAGGUGCCUACAACGUGCUUUCGAGUGUCUGGGUGUCUCGUUUGGUAAGUUAUCUUGACAGCUUGCUGUGUUGGUGAUAUUAUUGAGCGAUUGAUGUCUGGUCUAACUUGUUGCUGUUCGGGACUUUG